rnacentral:rRNA from 1 species
AUUGAACGCUGGCGGCAGGCCUAACACAUGCAAGUCGAACGAACUCUUCGGAGUUAGUGGCGGACGGGUGAGUAACACGUGGGAACGUGCCCUUUGGUACGGAAUAACGCAGGGAAACUUGAGCUAAUACCGUAUGUGCCCUUCGGGGGAAAGAUUUAUCGCCAUUGGAGCGGCCCGCGUCUGAUUAGCUAGUUGGUGAGGUAACGGCUCACCAAGGCGACGAUCAGUAGCUGGUCUGAGAGGAUGACCAGCCACAUUGGGACUGAGACACGGCCCAAACUCCUACGGGAGGCAGCAGUGGGGAAUCUUGCGCAAUGGGCGAAAGCCUGACGCAGCCAUGCCGCGUGGAUGAUGAAGGUCUUAGGAUUGUAAAAUCCUUUCACCGGUGAAGAUAAUGACUGUAGCCGGAGAAGAAGCCCCGGCUAACUUCGUGCCAGCAGCCGCAGUAACAC